AGCCGUAUAGUUCAACGGCAGAACAUCGGGUUUUGGACCCGACAAUCUUGGUUCGAUUCCAAGUACGGCUGCCA
rnacentral:tRNA from 1 species